UACGUAGGGUGCAAGCGUUGUCCGGAAUUAUUGGGCGUAAAGAGCUCGUAGGCGGUUUGUCGCGUCUGCUGUGAAAUCCCGAGGCUCAACCUCGGGCCUGCAGUGGGUACGGGCAGACUAGAGUGCGGUAGGGGAGAUUGGAAUUCCUGGUGUAGCGGUGGAAUGCGCAGAUAUCAGGAGGAACACCGAUGGCGAAGGCAGAUCUCUGGGACAAAACUGACGCUGAGGAGCGAAAGCGUGGGGAGCAAACAGG
rnacentral:rRNA from 1 species